rnacentral:rRNA from 1 species
UAGGGAAUCUUCGGCAAUGGACGGAAGUCUGACCGAGCAACGCCGCGUGAGUGAAGAAGGUUUUCGGAUCGUAAAGCUCUGUUGUAAGAGAAGAACGAGUGUGAGAGUGGAAAGUUCACACUGUGACGGUAUCUUACCAGAAAGGGACGGCUAACUACGUGCCAGCAGCCGCGGUAAUACGUAGGUCCCGAGCGUUGUCCGGAUUUAUUGGGCGUAAAGCGAGCGCAGGCGGUUAGAUAAGUCUGAAGUUAAAGGCUGUGGCUUAACCAUAGUACGCUUUGGAAACUGUUUAACUUGAGUGCAAGAGGGGAGAGUGGAAUUCCAUGUGUAGCGGUGAAAUGCGUAGAUAUAUGGAGGAACACCGGUGGCGAAAGCGGCUCUCUGGCUUGUAACUGACGCUGAGGCUCGAAAGCGUGGGGAGCAAACAGGAUUAGAUACCCUGGUGGUCCACGCCGUAAACGAUGAGUGCUAGGUGUUAGACCCUUUCCGGGGUUUAGUGCCGCAGCUAACGCAUUAAGCACUCCGCCUGGGGAGUACGACCGCAAGGUUG